UGGGGAAUUUUGGACAAUGGGGGAAACCCUGAUCCAGCCAUCCCGCGUGUGCGAUGAAGGCCUUCGGGUUGUAAAGCACUUUUGGCAGGAAAGAAACGUCAUGGGUUAAUACCCCGUGAAACUGACGGUACCUGCAGAAUAAGCACCGGCUAACUACGUGCCAGCAGCCGCGAUAAUACGUAGGGUGCAAGCGUUAAUCGGAAUUACUGGGCGUAAAGCGUGCGCAGGCGGUUCGGAAAGAAAGAUGUGAAAUCCCAGAGCUCAACUUUGGAACUGCAUUUUUAACUACCGGGCUAGAGUGUGUCAGAGGGAGGUGGAAUUCCGCGUGUAGCAGUGAAAUGCGUAGAUAUGCGGAGGAACACCGAUGGCGAAGGCAGCCUCCUGGGAUAACACUGACGCUCAUGCACGAAAGCGUGGGGAGCAAACAGG
rnacentral:rRNA from 1 species